ACGGGGGGUGCGAGCGUUGUCCGGAAUCACUGGGCGUAAAGGGCGCGUAGGUGGCCCGGUCAGUCCGUGGUGAAAGCGCGGGGCUCAACCCCGCGUCGGCCAUGGAUACUGCUGGGCUUGAGCACUGUAGAGGCAGGCGGAAUUCCGGGUGUAGCGGUGGAAUGCGUAGAGAUCCGGAAGAACACCGGUGGCGAAGGCGGCCUGCUGGGCAGUAGCUGACACUGGGGCGCGACAGCGUGGGGAGCAAACAGGA
rnacentral:rRNA from 1 species